rnacentral:lncRNA from 1 species
AGACAGGACCUCCCCAGACUGGGUCUCAGAGGUUGCAAACACUCAUUUGAACAGUGUGUGGUGGAGGAGUGGGUUGGGUGAUUGUGAGUGGGUGAUGUUUAUGUUCUUGGAAAACAGAGUGAGGUACUGAGGAGGCUUAGGGAAGUAUUGCUGGUGGCUCAUGAUGACAAGGGUGACUGGGUCCCCGCCCUGUCCUUCCCUCCCCCAGGUUUUCAACAUCUGGCUAAGGGAGGGUAGGAUGUGGGUGUGGCUCUUGCUGGCCUGCCAAGUAGCUGCUAGGACAGAAAAAAGAUUGCUCUAUGCCCUCAGCUAGCAGACAGAAUCUAUAAGGCAAGCUCUCCUUUCGUGGCCCAGUCUGAGACUGCAUAAGCACGUGUACACACACACACACACACACACACUCACACUCAUGUGUGCACACACACUCACGUGCACACACACUCACACUCAUGUGUGCACACACACUCACGUGCGCACACACGCACACACACUUGCGCGCACACACUCGUGUGCACACACACACUCACGUGCACACACACACACACACACACUCGCGAGUGCACACACACCACCACUCAUUGCAUCACAGCCCAGGGUCCCACAGACUUUGCUCCUCACUUUUGUUUUCCCUCUUGUGUGCUUUACAGAUUCUCAGUGGAGAAGCCUAAAGAUUAAGCAAGCCUGAGAUGUCCUUACCAAAUUGGAAAGGAAGUAAAAACUGUCCCUUUCUCUAGCCAAAGAGCCCCUCUGAGACACCUCUAGAGACGGGCAAACACAGUCCCUGUUCCUUUCUGGGCAAUGAUGACUUCACUGACCUUCCAUUCACCGUUCCUUUCUAUCCUGCCUUUCUUUUUUUAAUUUUACUGCAUUUACUUCAAAACCACUCUCUUUAAAGAGGAGUGGAGUGGUGGCCCUAAAUGCUGCUGCUCCGGGGGAGUUGAUAGCCCUCUAGUGCUCAUUUGUGAUUGAUUAAUCCAAUGCUACUGUGAGAAGCUAGAAAACAAGCCAGCAGACCUUCCCUGGUGAGCCCACACUGUAUCCCGGGCUUGGGUGGCUAUGGGUCCACUUGCCUAGUCUCCACAGACAGACUCAGACGAGUCCAUCGAGCCACUAGAGAACCAAAGGUGGAAAGGUAAGACUGACUGACUUACAAGAGGAACCUCCUGGAGGUUGGCACUAUGGCCCACGCAGUAACCGCCUGAGGGCUGGUUCCUGAGUCUUUGGGGUGACUUAGGAGAGGUAGCCCCUUCCCGGCUUCUAAGCUGGAACCCUCCCUGUCCCCAAUCCUUUCAGGCUUCCUCAUCUCAGACCCGUGCAGGACCCAUUGUACUGACUGUCUCUUCCUGUACAAUAGCAGUACCCGUGUGUAAGGACUCACUGACGUUUGUUGAGUAUUCACAGUAUGCCAAGCCCUUUCUCAGUGUUCUCUCGGAGAACCCAUUCUGGGAAGAAGUCAACACCCCCUAUGUGAGGAUGGAGAAGCUGGCCCUCUGAGAAAGUGGCAUGUGUGCAAGGGAAGUAUGCAUCUCAGAGCCCCAACUUCCCAAUCCUGGUUUUGUUAAUCAGGACUUUACUCGUGUGAAAUUUUGUUCCCCUGUUUAACUAACUUCAGGGUGCAGCCUCCUGUCUCUAAUGAGCCAUUUAAUGAUGCUCCCACUCCCUGUGCCAAACACUGUGCUAAGAAAUGCUGAGGAGCCCUAGGACCCCAGCCGUGCAGGACCUGUACAGACAUGCCCAGGCCACCUUAGCUACUGAGGGAAGUCAGGGCUUGACAUUCUGUCCGCUUGGCUCUGGAGCUGAGCCACCGACACCAGCCUCAGCUGCCUCCCUUGUAUAACAAGGACAGUCCUUGGCGGAGUGUCAUGCGCUGCCUGCCCUGUGUGACAGUGGACCUCAGCAGGUGUGUGCAGAGCGGCCUGGAUGGAUGCAGGUGGGAGAGCAGAGUGGGUCCCUGGAGGUUUCUCUGGGCUCCUAGAAUUCCUUUCGGUUUCUUUCCAGCAACUAGCUUUAUCACUCAGUGCUGCUGCACUCUUAGGAGAGUGAAGGGAACGUGUUCUUUUCUUCUAAAUAAAUACAGAAAGAUGAUUUUUUUCUUAUAGCUAAUCCUAGAAAGGCAAUACUAAAAGUAUAUAUUUUUUUUCCAAAAUGCUAUUUUUUACUGUACUUGAUAAAUAUCAUGACAGCUCUGAUCUCUGUAAUAGACCCACUCUUCAGCUCUGCACAGAACCAGAAGCCAGGUUCACGCCAAAUCUGUAAAUACCAUGAGGGUCUGUGUCCAGGAACCUUUUUUUCUAUGAAGAAACAAAAACAAAAACAAAAAAAACAAAAAACAAAAAAAAAGAGGAGGGGAUGAAAGCAAGAUAACUUUUGGGAAGAGGAACAAUAUUGAGUUUUCUUGCAAGAGACCCCCUUCUCAAAGAGAGGGACAACAGCGGAACCUAGCAGAGCAGCCACAGGAAGCCAGGAGGGGGGGG